rnacentral:tRNA from 1 species
AGUCUGGUAGCUUAACUUUCAGAGUGCUUAACAAGCAUUUAAAAAGAUCCGGGUUCAAUUCCCGGCUUGAUUC